rnacentral:lncRNA from 1 species
AUGGUUAGAAAAUAGGGAAAAAUAACAGCAAAGGAUUAUCCCUAUCAACUAAAAAGAACCAAGUGGUGCUGGUGGCGAGAAUACAAAAUCAGAAGCGGCUUACCACCAUCUUACAAUUAUUCUUACCAAAACCAAACAGGAGAAAAACCAAAUUGGCAAAGUAAUCUAUUGUUGAGCGUAGGUAAACAGUUGCAAGAUGAACCUGUGCUGAUAGAAGUAUAUGUGGAGCUUUGGACAAGCACAAUGUAAGUAGCAAGGAUUAGCAAUAUUCAAAAGUAGAGUUAGCUAAGUUCAAUAAGUAUUCAAAGAACAAAUCAAAAUUGCUAGCUAAGACGUGUCUAGACGUAGCGCAACAAGGUGAAACAAAGUAUGAUGGAAGGAACUCAGCAAAUAAGCAAUAGAGCAGAUUUUCUUUUAUCCUGAUUUUUCCUCGAUUUUUCCAAAAGACACUAGUAGGAAUCAAGAUUUUUUAUUUUUUUACUAUUUUUUAUAUUUUUCUCUGAACAAAGAUCACAAAAGAUGUAACCACAAAAAUUGGCAACUACAACUGAGGUCAGAUGUGGUCUAUAGAAAUUUAGCAAGUUCUCUGAAAAGCAUGCAAAACCCUUGUCAAUUUUUUUCUUUAUUUUCUUGAAUUUUUUUGGCGAUUUUGCUAAGACCAAAGUAUGAUGUCAAGAAGCUGCUGUAAAAAUUUCAGAUUUUUCUAAUAAACGAGCGAAAAGUUAUGCCGGUUUUACCGAAGGUAUCUCAAGUUAUGUUUUCCGGAAGGCACACCACAGCGACGCGGCAGUUAGGGCAAAGCGUCCCUAAACUCCAACACUGAUCACAGGAUGAAUCAUCCCUGUGACUAACAGCAGUAGGUAUGCACCUGAUGAUGUAAGGAGGGCUGUGAAGUAGGCCAAAUAACAGCAGCUGACAACCUAUCUAGGGUUAGCGCGGCGGCGAGAGAUCACACAAGGCGACUAGCGGAGGCAAGUCGAGUAAUGUGGUGGCUUUGACUUGUUGUUUGGAAACAGUGGAUGGGAUAGCGGUGGAAACUAAGAACAACAACGGUGCAAAUGAACUACGAUGACAAACACAAUCAAAACUAGCAACUAGACUCAACCACAGAUACAAACUCAACAAAGCAAAACUGAAAACAAAAUUGCAAGGCACAAUGGGUGAUAGGACAGCAGAAAAUUAAACUAUUUUUUGGGCUUUUUUUGGACUGUAGGUAAUGAACAAAUAUGAAUCUAGGGCAAACGAGAUUAUACCUCGCGGUAAACCUGAGAUAUCUGAUACCAAUUGAUGAGGGUCAGACCCGAUCUUCCGAUAGGUAAUUGGUAAAUUCGAUUUGUGGAGAACUCAACGUUGGCGAUCUGGCUUUAAAUCAACAUAAUUCGAACCCUGCAACCGUUACACCACUGCUCUGUUGGUUAUCAACCAAGCACAACUUGAUUAACCUUGCCAAGAAGGCUUUUCUUGCAAGCGAAUCGAAGAACACAAGCAAGAAAGUAUAAACACGCAAUCUGAAAUUGCAGAUAUAAAUGAUGUG